rnacentral:lncRNA from 1 species
UACAGUGGUAUAGACAAAAUUCAGGUAGAGGCCUUGUCCACCUAAUUUUAAUACGUUCAAAUGAAAGAGAGAAACACAGUGGAAGAUUAAGAGUCACGCUUGACACUUCCAAGAAAAGCAGUUCCUUGUUGAUCACGGCUUCCCGGGCAGCAGACACUGCUUCUUACUUCUGUGCUACGGACGCACAAGGAAGCUACAUACCUACAUUUGGAAGAGGAACCAGCCUUAUUGUUCAUCCGUUAUCCAGAACCCUGACCCUGCCGUGUACC